AGGGACCCUCAGGCCUUCUUUCUGGCAUCUUGAACACGGUGGAAGGAACCUGUUACCGCAGAGUCGAGCACAAGAUGUAAAACUUCUGUUUCCUCAUGGCUUUGUCCCCUGCCAGGAAGAAGCAACAUGAUGAGCAAAAGCAGGACAAAAGAAAGCAAGAAACUAAGCAAUAGGUUUAGCAAAUAAAAAUAUUGCAUGGGACAUAAACCUAAAAACGCUUUGUUGUUUAUCUGAAAUUUUGAUGUAACUGGGCCUCCUGUCUUUUUUUUUUUUUUUUUGAUUUUGAUUUAUUUAUUCAUGAGAGAGAGAGAGAGGCAGAGGGAGAAGCAGGCUCCAUGCAGGGAGCCCAACGUGGGACUUGAUCCGGGGUCUCCAGGAUCAGGCCCUGGGCUGAAGGUGGCGCUAAACCACUGAGCCACCCGGGCUGUCCUCCUGUCUUUUAUCCACAACUCCACCACAGCAUAUCCUUGGUAGCCUCACAGAUGUUUUCGUGGCACAUGUAAAGGAUGAAAGAGCCUGUGAGAAAAUGUGAACUGUAACAGUACAUUAAAGCCUCAUUUGAUUUCUUUGGGAAACAAGAUAGGCAGAAAAACACUGAGCAGAGCCUGGAUAGAGCAGGAACAUUUGGAAGCACAAGGACAGCAUGUCCACAGACAGGCAGCACUUGGCCUUGGGUUUCCUCACGGUGAGAGGUUCCACGGUUUGUGUUUCUAGUCCUUGCCCAUGGAGCCCUGCCCUGCCCAAGGGACGGGUGCUGGCCUCUGCCUCCACUCCCCCCAAGUCCCACAGACGAACCUCUGAGAUGCAGAACUCAGCAUCCCUUUCCAGAACUUCAGUUUGGAAACAGGAGAUAAAUAUAUUAUGAUCAAGACCGAGAAUCUGUGACCCAAGGGAGGGGAAUUAGAAGAGAUGGUGAUUUGCAUCCGUCACUGUAAGAACUGGCACAUUAGAACAUAUAUUUAAUGGCUAAUUUUUGAAGUCUUAGAACUCAGAGACUCUCUGCCAGUCCCCCCUGUAAGCAGUGAAGGAACUCCUGCGGGAGUGUCCGCUAAAGCUGAGGGCACC
rnacentral:lncRNA from 1 species